UGUAAAUAAGUAUGUGCUCCCUUCCAGAUGAAUCUAGUUUGUUUUCAUCAGAUCAGAAAAGACCUGAGUAAACACAGAAAGCUGUUUUUAUCCUCAUAUUCAAACCUUUAGAAUAUUUUCACCCGAUGAAAAUUACUUGAGUUACUUUCUUAUAGUAUUAUGAGACAGUAGCUCAUUAUGAGCUACUUUCUAAUUGGACAAUACCUCAUAGUACCAUGAAGCGGUAUUUCAUAUUAUAAUGAGCCACUUUCUCCUGUUUAUUAGAUAUGAUCUCAUUAAUCCUACUAACCAGCCCUUCAUGACUCAGCUGUUUAAAUUUAUUUUCUGGUCCAUCAGCAUGAGGUCUCCAACAUUUGAUGAAAUAAACCAUCAGAACAGAUGAGAAAUCUCACAUUUUCCAACCUGAAACUGUUCUGUUCUUUACUCCAUGAGCCACAAAUUAAAAACGACUCCUUCAACCAGUCAAUCAGCGCCCAUCUGUUAGCAGGUUCGACUGAAGGUCAACGUGUCAGUUUCUGAUGUCCUUUUCUUUUUACCAACAUUUCUGCUUCACUCAGCAACACAUCUCCUUAAAUCUUAACUGCUUGGCCCAUUUAUAGACCUUUGAGAAAAGGGAAUUAUAAAUAAAAUAUUUAAAAUUGCCCUGAUGGACCAACGACAAUAAAAGCAGAGAAAUCUUCGCCUGUAAACAUCCAGGCAGCACAACUAAAACUUAAUACAAGACUUAAAAACUAAAAUAAUUAAGACUCUUUAUGACAGCAAAGUGUUCUCCAACACCUGAGUCAGAUGAAUGCCUUGAUUACAGGCUUCUGCAGAGCUGAUGGUGUGCUGAGGAGGUGAAGAUGAAGGGAUGCAUCUAAAAUCUGCAGGGUGGCAGCUCAAGAAGACUGGACCUCAACAUCCCUACAUGUGGACAGAUCUUCACCAAUUCAUGACAGGAUGAGCCUGAGCACCAAAGCAUUAGACAUACAAUAGCUGGUUUCAACACUUCCCAGUAGCUGCAGAUAAAAUGAAGCGCUGCAGACAUCUACUGUAGGUUUAAUCUGGGAGCCAUGUUGAUCCAUCUGACAGCAGGAGGUUCUGGACUAAAGCUCAGACCAAACCCAACUGUUCACUGGUAACUUCUUACCACUGCAGGACUUUCUCUUCCUCCCCGGCUCUCUUCUGUGGAGGUUUUGAAAUCUGCAGCUGCUCUCAGAUCAGAUUUCAUCAUCAGAACAAGCAGCAGGUUCAGUACAAUAUAGACUUUAUUAGUUCACUAAAGUUUAAUAUGAAAUAAAAAGCAGAUUGGCUUUAAAUCAUUCACAAUUCAGUAAUAAUCGAUAUUCCAGGUUCAUCAUUUAACACAGGAAGUCCAUCCUCCCUACAGCUGCUGCAUCUUUACAAAAUAAGAGCUGGAAACUCCCUCUCAGCGUUGAUUAUCGGGCUGAAAGCGAUGUGAUGCAGUCAGGCUGCACUGAGCGCGCUCACAGCAGCCAACGAACCCAGAACGCACACCAAGCCGUGAACUUACAAAAAAAAACAAAAAAAACAGGAGAAAUCAUGGUUCUUUGUGGUGUUGAGUAAACAGACAGACAGCAGGAGGCGCCAGAGUUCAUUCCUAUCAGAGUCCAGAACGAUUUGAGUCCAGAAGAAGAGCGAAAUCACCAGAACUGCUCGGGGAAUGUUUCAUAUCAUUUUAUUGUUUUUAACUUUAUUUUCUCAUCAUAGUAAUGGAAAAAUAGAACCUUUUACAAACGUCUUCAAUUUCCUGAAAUCUUUGAAACAAGCAAAAACGGUGAGUGACCCGUUCCCAACCCAAGUGCAGCGGGGAAAUCAACGUGAAGCAGCUCACAGCACGCGCUUCCAGACCUUCAGCUAUAACUAUUCCCAUUUGGCACUCGCUCCGCAGCACCGAGCUUUUACUCUGAAGGGCUUCAGUGCUGCUGCUGCCGGAGCGGGCGGAGCCGUUCGGCCGGCGUGUCUCCGUUUUAGUGCUCGGAAGAAGAAAAA